rnacentral:RNase_P_RNA from 1 species
CAGGCGAAGCUCAUCAACUGGGCCACAAGCUGAGUGCUCCCUACUCCUAGUCUCUGGGAAGGUCUGAUACUGGGGCCUCCCUCAGCAGUCCUAACUAGACUCUUCCCAAAUGUGGGAGGCGAGUUCCCAGAGAGCAGGGUUCCAUGCAUGGGCAGAAUGGACAGGAGAUGCCCUGAGGUAUGUCCCUCGACAGAACUUGGAACAGACUCACAGCCAGCUACCAAAGUUUAAAGUUUUUACAUUUUUUAUUAUUAUCAUUUUUUACAAUUUAUUCAAUUUGUAUCCCUG